UUAACACAUGCAAGUCGAACGGUCUUUUAGGAGACAGUGGCGGACGGGUGAGUAACGCGUAAGAAUCUACCUUCAGGUUGGGGACAACCACUGGAAACGGUGGCUAAUACCGAAUGUGCCGAGAGGUGAAAGGCUUGCUGCCUGAAGAAGAGCUUGCGUCUGAUUAGCUAGUUGGUAGUGUAAGAGACUACCAAGGCGACGAUCAGUAGCUGGUCUGAGAGGAUGAUCAGCCACACUGGGACUGAGACACGGCCCAGACUCC
rnacentral:rRNA from 2 species